rnacentral:rRNA from 1 species
AAUAUUGCGCAAUGGAGGAAACUCUGACGCCACGACGCCGUGUGAGCUCUGUAGGAUUUCGGAAAGUAAAGCUCUGUCCUGGGGGAAGAAGGCCUUCGGACAUGACGGUACACAUGAAGUAAACCGCGGCUAUUUACGUUUCCGCAGCCGCGGUAAUACGUAGGGGGCAAGCGUUGUCCGGAAUUAUUGGGCGUAAAGGGUGCGUAGGCGGCCUUUUAAGUCAGAUGUGAAAGCCCGCGGCUUAACUGCGGGAUUGCAUUUGAAACUGGGAGGCUUGAGUAUCGGAGAGGGUAGUGGAAUUCCCAGUGUAGCGGUGAAAUGCGUAGAUAUUGGGAGGAACACCAGUGGCGAAGGCGACUGCCUGGACGAAAACUGACGCUGAGGCACGAAAGCUAGGGGAGCAAAC